rnacentral:misc_RNA from 1 species
CCAAAUUUGUAGUUGGCUAUGUUGCUAGUUCUUCUGCCUUUGAUAUUUCAACUAGCCAAAUGAGUGGUCCUCUAAUGAAAUCGAUUUUUUUGGUACUAGAAUCACAAAUCAUGCGCCUGCUGCAUCUGUUUUUGUAUCUGGAACACCUUACUAUGCUCGUUGCAACAAUUCUUUUGGAUUUUCAGGUGUCAAUAAAACUGGUUUUGAUAUUUCAACUUCAACAACUACUCUCUCAAAUCCAGUCUCCCGUCAACCAACGAUAGCAUCACUGCAUCAGCAUCUGGGUCUUUUAAGUGUUCCCGGUGUUUGGUGUUUCAAGCAGUCUUUCUCAUGGCUUUUUUCCAGGUUGAAUAUUUCCCAGUAGCUCAACUUCUGCCCUCUGUCAGUCUACUCCUGCUUUUGGGGCUUUAAGUGCUCCAAAUAUCUGGUGCGUCAAGUACCACUCGCUCAACUCCUAUUAUCUGUCGGCCUACGUCUGCAUUUGAUUUUGGGGCUUCAAGUCCUCUAUCUUCUGUCGCACCAAGUACUCGUGGGUCCUGCAUUUCAAGCACUCCAGCAUUUGGUGGCAUUCUGCUAUUUGGUUGUUGAUCAAGCACUCUAUUAUCAUGUAGUGCUACAUCAUUUGGUCGUUACUCAAACAUGUGGUCAUUCAGGAGCAUUUGAAAGCCAUGGUUUUGGAGCUGGAAAACAUGAAGGGGGUAGAGUAGCAGCUUAUAUUCAAACUGCAGCAGAAUUUGAUAGGAAUCACACAAAAUCUACUGGAAACCAUCUGUGCAUAACAGCCAUGCCCAUUUACAAGGACGAGUUUGGAAGAAUUAAGAUGGGAGGACCACAAAUUGGGGGAUAAAGCUGUGCUGGUCUUUCUUAUAUGGUUCUUCUUAAAGGUGCAAUGACAUCUUCAUCAACUGUGCCUUGCAUGCAUAAAGCUUCCUCUGCCCUGCAAUGGGAUACAAUUCCUUUCCAGUUCAACCCGCCACUGCAUCUUUGAGUUUGCCUAUGUUUGGAUUUUUGCCUUCCAUCUGGUUCAUGGAUCAGCCCCAACAGCAGCUCUGGCCAUUGUCUCCGGUUUAAAUGCAUUGAACAACCAAUCAUUGCUAGUAUCUCAGUUCGCUGUACUUAUACCCUCUUUUCAGCAGACAAAUGCAGCUGCUGGACAGUGUACUUUAUCUGGGCAUGGUAUUACACAAUUUCAUUCAAACACGUUGUGUGCGCCAAUAUCACCUGGAUUUGGGCAGGUGGCGUUUACAGGCAUGCUGCUGCUUCUUAAUGGUUAUGGCCAGAGUACUGUAAGUUAAAGUCACUCACAAAACUCGAAAAUUUUUUAGCUUUUACAUAUGGACUCAUAUAGCCAGAUUGGCUUUAAGAUUGAAAUGGGGAAAAAAAAAUAUGUUUAGCAUUGAGGAAUGGAUAGAAGAAGC